UACGUAGGUGGCAAGCGUUGUCCGGAUUUACUGGGCGUAAAGGAUGCGUAGGCGGAUAUGUAAGUCAGAUGUGAAAUUCCCGGGCUUAACUUGGGAACUGCAUUUGAAACUGUAUGUCUAGAGUGCAGGAGAGGAAAGUGGAAUUCCUAGUGUAGCGGUGAAAUGCGUAGAGAUUAGGAAGAACACCAGUGGCGAAGGCGACUUUCUGGACUGUAACUGACGCUGAGGCAUGAAAGCGUGGGGAGCAAACAGG
rnacentral:rRNA from 1 species